UUCUUUUUCCUUGGUACUUCCCACAGGAGCAUCUUGACAGAUCGCUGGGCCUUGCACCCAAGUGAUGUGAGUCUCCUCUGCUGCCUUUGUGCUUUCCACAGGGAACAUUGUGACACAUCGCUGGGCAGCACACCCGGGUUAUGUGACUCUCCUGCCUGUGCCCUGCCCAAGAAAUGUGUCUCUCCUCUUCUGCCUGCACCUUGCCAACAGAGAAAAUUGUGACAUAUUACUGAGCCUAGCAACCAGGUGAUGUGUCUCUCCUGCCUGGGCCUGGCUGACAGAAAGCAGUGUGAUAUAUUCCCGGGCCCAGCAAACAGACUUGUCUGCAGCGCAGAUUGCUACAUAUUGCUUGGCCCAGCUCCUAUGUGAUGUGACUCUCCUGUCAUACCUGAGUGCUCCCCACUGCGGUAAUUGUGACAUAUAGCUGGGCUCUGGCCCUAGUUUAUGUAACUUUUCUUCCUGACUGCUACUCACCUGGGGGCAUUGUGACAUAUCUCUGAACCUCUCACCUAAGUGAUGUGAAUCUCCUGCUUGAGCCCACUUCUCAGGGAGUAUUAUUAUAUAUUGUCACACACAGCAACUAGGUGAUAUGACUCUCUCUACAGCUUGGACUCUGCCCAAUAAAAAACUGUGAUGUAUCAC
rnacentral:lncRNA from 10 species